CAAACAAGUCCCACCCCACCUGCUAACUCCCCAAGCUUCUAAACUGCUCCACCUGCCUGGUCCAGACCCUCCCCCCUCCCAGCUGCACCCUAAUCACCUGCCCCCCAGGAGUGUCCCUAGGUCCCUUGUCACUCCCGCCUCCUAUCUUUUAGCCAAAAUCCCGCCCAGAGGCAUGUCUCCUGGGCAGCGGUGCAACGCCCCCUACCCACGCUCUGCUGGCUCAGAAUCCCCCUCCCGGGACUCUAGAGACCUGUACUCCUGAGGUGCGCAGGCGGCCGAGUUUUCACGCGCUCCACCUGGGCCUUUGGGUGGACUCUCCGGAGGGGUUGAGCGGACGUCAAGCUACCCCUGCGCUCCAGGGAGCUCUGGAAGCCUGGGCACUCACCCAGUGACAGAGAACAGGCGGAGGCUCUGCAAGCAGCACAGGCAGUAUGGCCAAGCACCCUGCGCUUAGGGUGCCUGACCCCUUUCUACUUUUCUUGGUGUUCCAAGAUGAGAACCAAUGCAGGUGUGUCAGGCUCCGUGCCUCCCUGGGGACACUACACAGCCUCCGCCAGAAACCCCUGAUGCUCCAAGCAGAGACUGACUCGGACGCCUGACUCCCGGGUUCCUUAGCGCGCGAUGCCCUCUUUCCAAGCGACAGUGCGACUGCUGAACGGAGGUCAGACUUUCAGGUUAAACACCGGCUUUUGCUCCAGCUUUUCCCGUGCCUCUCAAUAGAAACAUUUGAGUCUUCCUUCCUUCGAUCUCCUAUUCCAUGUCCGCCCUUUGCUUGUCCCGGAUGGAUGGAGGAUGCAAGGCUCAAGCGGAGGCAACCAGAAUGAGGUGUCACCUUUUCCAGAAUCAAGGAAAAAAGGGAAAAAAAAAACCCAGAGGAAAAGGGAAGGAAAGAAGCACAUACAUUUACAUCGUUGCAACGACAAUUUACAAACCAGUCGAGAACUUUAUCAGUAUGCAGCCAGAAGGACCAUGCAUGUUGGAAAAGAAGAGAGCUGGAGACUGCACCAUCACUACAUGAAGAUGGACAGCCUCCCAGAAGAGUCCUCACACAAUGUUCCUCAUUCUUAAGAUGACUUCUGAGGUCAGUGAAAUGCCUGGGCUGCACAGUGACUUUGACAGAAGACAGAACACAGCAGGAGGAUCAGGAUAUGGAAGCUAUGAGGCACUAGAGGAAAUAUCUCCUACAGCUUCUAACCUCUAAUAAUUUUGGAAUGAUAUGGCUAUAAAGUCCAACUCUGUUAGGAUAUUUCUUAGGAAAAGCAAGGUUCCUACAUGAAUUUUUCCUUAUAAUUCUGAUUUAAGAUAUUUUAGAUGAUUAAAAAUCUAUAUUCCUCCUUAAGUCAAAGUGACUGUCACUAUCCCAGUCAGUGUUUGAAACUCACCUUUCACUGUGCUUCUGUGGAUUAUGCAGAGCAAAGACUAUUUAGAGAUUCAGAGAUGAGGAUGGGCACAGAUGUUUUAAGAGCUGUGUAAAGAACAAUCUUAGCAGUUCUCAGAGAGAAUUUCAAAUAAUGACAUCAGAAUCUAAACCCACCUAACAGGAUAGUGCAAAUUUAAACAGAUGGUUUUUAAAAGACAAAAUAACUAUAUUAUAAAACAAAACAAAACAAUAAAAACCUGUUAUUGAUAUUUCA
ensembl:lncRNA